GCAUUAUGAUGAUGAGAACGUUGUGUUCUGAAGAAUAUGUUGAUUGAAUAAAUAACCUCCUACUCAUUCUGA